AAUGCUGGGAUUAAAGGUGUGUGUCAUCAGGCCAAAAAGACUGUGUUAAUGUCAGUUGUAUUUACUGACAGUCUGAGCACUUAAUCUCUAGCCCCAUUUUGGAACUGGUAUGGUUAUCAUGCAAUAACACAUUUUAAAAAAUACUUAACAUUAGUUUGUUUCUUUUUUUUUUCCGGAAUCUCUAAACGAGAGUUGUUCCUUAGUUGCUACUGAACUGAACAUAAUAAUUGACAAAGUAGUUAAAGCAAAUGAUAAAAUAAGUAUUGGGUACUAGUGGUCAGAAGUGGUGAACCAUGUCUAUCCCUCAGAGGGCUGAGACAGGAGGAUGGUAAGUCUGUGGCUAGCCUGGGCUACAUAGCAAGUUUCUGUCUCAUAAAACCUGAAAACCAAAUAAAUAGCUAGCAAUUUAUCUGCAUUUGCCACAUUUUAAGUUAAAGCAAAGAUAGGGUUCUAGUUUUCUCAGACUUUUAAGCAAUCUAAGAAUUUAACAAAAGCACAUUUUCUUGUUGUUUGUUUUUUUUCCCCUUUUCUGUUUUUUAAAUUUAAUUUAAUGUUGUUUUUCAUUUGAGACAGAAUUUCAUUGUGUAACCUGGGUUGGCCAACUAAUUGUGUAUGCCAGAUUGGUCUCAAACUUCCGGCAGGCCUCUGCUUCUGGAGAGCUGAGAAUCCAGAGUGCCUUCUACAAAGUACCUGUGGAAGAAGACCAAUAGAUCAACUUUUUUGUGACUCCUGCCUUUGACAUUUUAUGUAAGAAGUCCUUACCUUGUUCAAGUGUCAGUUCAGAUCCAUGGGAGCUAUGCAAGGAUCCCGCACUUGACAACCAACGCCUUUUUUGUGGCACGAGCUUUGUCUUUAGCUCUGGGCUGAAGUUCCUGUUCGUCAUCUGCAGCUGUGGUAUUCCACGUCUCUCCCAGCUUCUUUGCAGCAUCACCAACGGAUAAACCAGGAUGUUCUCCUUGAAGUUGGAGCGAUACUCAGAAAAGAGGCCAAGCAAGGUUAAUGGGAACUCCGGAACACUGUUUCCUCUGAGAGGGAUCUGGGUUCUCCUGUCUUUUUCAUAACAAGUCUGUCCCCUUGUCUUUAGCAGACAUGAUCUUUCACCUCUCUGACUACGACUUAGAAAAACCCUGAAGUUGGCUGAGGCAACGGACGAUUUCUUCUUAUCCCCCUCACCAAGUUUCCACAAAGAAUGUGUAUCCUGACGUGUUACCUGUCGGCUUCGGAGGCUUUACUUGGCUGGAGAGGAGAGUCUUGUCAGCAAGUCACAGAGUCGCCCAGCGUGUACUCAGUUCUCACUCGCCCUGGUGCUAUGCCUAUGGAAUGUACUGUGAUGCCCAUGAGAGCAGAGCCAGAUGCCAAAGACAUCACAUUUUUGCAAGAACUUUGGCAUCUCUUUCAGAACCAGAAUGCUUAGACUAUUGCAUAGGAAACUCUCCAGUCAGACUUCUCAAAAGACUAGGCUGGGGUAUGCAGGAAGCUGAGUGCUGAGGGUUGAUAUUCAGAGCCUCUCCUGGCUGACUAUAUAGGGUAGAGUCCAUAUGAUAAUGGGUUUGUGUGACAUUCCAAUACAGAUUCAAUACCUCCCAACUAGCAUUGUUUCAAGUUUCUCUAGAAUGAGAAGUCCAGGCCCCACUUACUGCUGUCAGGAAGGAUAAUUAUUUCUCACCAAGCUACUGGGUGUACACUGAUGUUUAGACAAAGCCUAAGGCCUGCCUAUUAUGUGUUCCCCUGGAGUUGGUUAGCCUUAUGUUUUCAUUUGUCAUGCUCUGGCCUGGCUGUGUGCUAUCAUUCUCUAUAAGUAUAGGUUACAUCUCAUGUGUGGCUUCUGACAUAGCCAUGACCCUUACUCUACUCAUGCUCUCUAUCUUUGCUGUCCUCUGGACCAGCUGGAAUACCACCGUUUCUCACACGCCUGUGCUGGGGCUUUUUUGUUCAUCUGCUUCAGGUGAGGAUGUACCCCCUUCCUCCUUCACAAUCCUCUGUCCCAUUGCUGACUACAUUUUUUUCUCUCUCUCUCCCUAAUGGCAGUAAAUGUGUAGCUAACGUGAACUCCACCCUACUUCAGCUCUAAAUUGUGUCCCCAUGCUCAUUCCCUUGUGUCAUCGUUCGAACAAGCCCCACACAUUCUUUUACAGAUUCUAAUCAUAUACAUGGUCCUAACUGCCACUCCAGAAGCUAGCUCUGUGACCCAAACCACCUGCCAUUAACUUUGACAAGAUGACAUUCUCCUUGGUCCAGGAACAACCAACCCAGAUGUAAACUUUCCCAUUCCCCUACCUUGACUGUGUUAGAAUCUCGGUGUUUACCCUCCAUGCUCCCUAACUGAUCCCAGCUAUUUUUCAUUUCCUGGUUCAAAUCUCCUAUCCAUCAGUCAUGACCUUUGGCAGGACCCUGCUGUACUUGUAAAGGCAGGCUUACUGACCUGCUAGUAAACCUUGCAUGUCAGGCAUCCUAACACCACCAGUUCAAUGUCUCAUGCCUUACUUUGUUUUUAUGAUUAUGAAUUCAUCUUACAGAGGGCUCCUCACACAAUACAAUUAUAGGCUGCCACCAAACCUGGAUCUAGUCCUAUUUAGGUGAUGGGUCUUCCGAUUAUCUCUAGGUUGUGGGCAUGUUCUUAUUGCUAGGGAAAAUAAACACUGCAGUUCCAGAGAGAACUCUGAGUGUCCUCAAUCUCACAAACAUUGUUUUACGUACUUUAUAGGUUGAAUGGAUUUUUGCUCUUUGGCUUUAAAAAACAACCGCAUAACAAAUAAUUUGUAGACAAAUGGAUGGACUUGUAAGCCACUUCUAAACUGUAGGCUUCAAGGACUUAACUUUGAGAAAAAAACAGAAACCAUAGCCAUGCACACAGUUUUAUUACACCUGUGUAGAAACCUUUCUUAUGUACAAAUACUGACAUUUGUGACAAGGGACUCUUCAGUUAAAUCCAAACAAAAGCCACAGGCAUAGUAAGAUUCAAGUAGUCAUGCUUUGUAAUUACCACAAUCAGAUAGAUAAUCUAGAUUUUCUGAUAUAGUUUCCAUUGUAAAUAUGGAUUAGCUAUGAUCUCCUUGUGUAAUUCUGUUACCUCAUUGCCAUAAGCAGGGAACAGCCAAGUACCUAGCACACAGUAGGCAUUCAAUCAAUGUGUGUAAAAUAAAUGUUAGACUGGUAGACUAUGUAUUCUGCUUUUAGUUUUAAUACUGUGAUCAGUGCCAAUAUUUCUGUUGGCCACAUAUAAGGAAUAUAAAUUGGAGUUAUGUAUCUUUGAGGCAGGGUACUUUAUAGCCCAGGGUGAUCCUCCUGCCUCCGAUCCUUACCUCCCACUGCUUCCUCCAUACCCCGUUUCUGAGAUUGGGGGGUGUGCCUUUACACUCUGUGCAGUGCAGGGCAUCAAACCUAGGGCUUGAUGAAUACCAGCAAGCACUCUACCAGCUGGGCUACUUCCCAGCCUCUUCUAUUUUUUCCCAGUGAGAUUAGCAAUUAUGCAAAUUUGUAUGGAUUUCCAAUCUCAGUUACAAAAUAAACUGUCUUUGUCUUCAGUGGAAGGUA